AUGUCUCCUGUUCGUCGCCCUGACGGUGCCCCUGCCCCUGUUUACCGAGCAAGAAGUGAGAAGUUCUCAGUGCUGUUUCAUCAUGGUGGUUUUUUCAUGGGUGAAGGAAGCAAUAGGGCUUAUAUUGAUGGGCAUAUAGUUUGGUAUGACAAUUUGGAUAAGCUCACCUGGUCUCCAAUAAUGGUGGAACAUAUAGUAGAAGAGAUUGGAUGGGAGAUGGCAGGCAGGUUGAAGGCAUAUUAUCAAAUCCCAAUACUUGACAUUACUCAGAAUUCUUUGAGACAUAUCAGAUCUGAGGCAGAUACUGAUCAAAUGAUGACCUUUCUGUCUAUUGGGCAUCAUUUCUUUACUAUUUAUCUUGAUCAUGAUGACAGUUUGAUUACUAAGAAGGUUGUUGAUGAUGUGGUCCAAUUUCCAAGGGCUGAACUUCCACCAGUGUUUAGCCCUUCAAAAGAUGGUACGAUUUCUCAUACUAGCAAGCCUGGAAAUUCAGAAGAAGACUGCCCUAUACCAAUUCAGGUUGUGUAUCCAAACAAUGUGCCACAUGAAGAUGGCAAUGCAUUCAUGUUUGUAAGAAGGCAGUGCACAUUUGGUGAAGGAGCAGAGGAAAAUGCAGAGCAACAAGGACAAGCAGGGCAAGCAGAGCAUGUAGGCCAAGAUGAUGUACAGCAACAUGAAGAUGCAGAGCAUGUAGGCCAAGAAGAAGAAGCAGAGCCACAUGAAAAUCCAGAGCAAGUAGAGCAAGAGAGAGAAGCAGUAGUUGAAGAUGCAGAAGCACAUCAAUUGAGGAGAACCAGAUCAAAGAAGAGAUGUUUUGAAGGCAAUGUAGGAACAGAUAGUGACUCAGAUGACAGUGAUUUUGAUCCUGGUGACAUGAUAGAUAGUGACUUUGAAAUCAGUGAUGAUGAUGAUGACCUUUAUGCUGACAAUGUGGAUAAGGAUGAACCAGUUAAAAGGAAGGAGAAGGUGAAGCAGAAAACAACAGCAAAGGAUAAAGGAGUUGUAGGGGAAGAAAAGGAAGAAAACUUGUCAGAUUAUGAAUCUGAAGGUGAAGAUCUUUGGGCACCUGAUUCAGAUGAUGAAAUGCAAACAAAAUUUAGAGCAUUUAGAAAGGAGGAUCUGACUUGUCCAAGAUUUCAUGUUGGACAAGUGUUUGAAAAUGUUGAUUUGCUUAGGAAAGCAAUUAAGGAAUACAGCUGCAAGAAUAGAGUUGAUGUCAAGUUACUAGUGAAUGACAGGAAGAGAGUGAAAGCAGUCUGUGAUAAAGAUUGUACUUGGUACUUGUGGGCUUCUUAUGACAGCAGAACCAAGUUUUUCAUGGUAAAGAAGUAUGUUGAAGAACAUAGUUGCUGCAAAAAAUGGAAGAUCAAGGCUUUCACAGCACCUUUUCUAGCCAGGAAAUACCUUGAGAGUUUCAGGGCUGAUCAGGAUAUGAAUCUUAGAAACUUCUCAAGGGUUGUUCAAAAGGAAUGGCACAUGACACCAACUAGGUCCAAGCUUCAGAGGGCAAGAAGGCUGGCUAUGAAAAUAAUUCAUGGAGAUGAAGAAGGGCAGUACAAGCUGUUGUGGGAUUAUGGAAAUGAGAUAAGGAGAAGUAAUCCUGGUAGCUCAUUUUUCCUUGCACUGGAUAAUCAAGCUAGGUUCAACAAGGCCUACAUGUGCCUUGAUGCAUGCAAUAGAGGCUAUCUUCAAGGUUGCAGGCCUAUGAUCUUCAUAGAUGGCUACCAUAUUAAAACAAGAUACAGAGGGCAGUUGCUGGUUGCAGUAGGAAUAGAUCCAAAUAAUUGCAUAUUCCCCAUAGCAAUAGGUGUUGUGGAAGUGGAGGACAAGCCUAACUGGGUUUGGUUUCUUGAGAGGCUGAAGAGUGAUCUUGGUAUUAUCAACACAUCCCCAUGGACAGUAAUGUCAGACAAGCAGAAGGGCCUGAUAAAUGCUGUGACUGAAGUAUUCCCUGAGUCAGAACAUAGGUUCUGUGUCAGGCAUAUGUGGAAGAAUUUCCAACAGCUGUACAAAGGUGAUGCUUUGAAGAAUCAAUUGUGGAAGAUAGCUAGGAGCACAACAGUUAUUAAGUAUGAGCAGUACAUGCUUGAGAUGAAGGUGCUGAAUGAGGGUGCAUACACCUGGUUGAAAGAGUUGGAACCAAACACUUGGGUGAGGGCUUUCCAAAGUGACAUACCUAAGUGUGACAUUCUGCUCAACAAUUUCUGUGAGGUGUUCAACAAAUAUAUCUUGGAGGCAAGAGAAUUGCCAAUUCUUUCAAUGUUUGAGAGGAUCAAGCAACAGUGGACUGCAAGGCACUACACUAAGCAUUGUGAGGGUGAGAAGAUGUAA
rnacentral:rRNA from 1 species